AUGCCUCGAGCAGACUGCAUUACGAAGCAUCUGUCAUACUCCUGCCGGGACCAAGUGGUAUGGGGCUUCGGCCGUGGCUACAAGCAGCUGGGCAUCCCCCACAGCUAAUUUUCCUGAGCAAGUGGUAGAUAAUCUGCCAGCCGAUAUAUCCAGUGGCAUUUAUUAUGGUUGGGCCAGUGCUGGAAGUAGAGAUGGUCAGAAGAUGGUGGUGAGCAUAGGAUGGAACCCAUACUAUGAGAAUACGAAGAAGUCCAUGGAAACACAUACCAUGCAUACCUUCAAAGAGCACUUCUAUGGGGAAAUCCUGAGUGUGGCCGUUGUUGGCUACCUCAGACCAGAAAAGAACUUUGAUUCAUGAGAGUCACUUAUUUCAGCAAUUCAAGGUGAUUUUUGAGGAAGCUAAGAAAUGACUAGAUUUACCAGAACAUUUGAAACUCAAAGAAGAUAAUUUCUUCCAGGUUUCUAAAAGCAAAAUAAUGAAUGGCCACUGA
rnacentral:lncRNA from 1 species